rnacentral:misc_RNA from 1 species
GGAAACAUUCCAUUAGAUUACAUAUUUACAUCUCAUAAUUUUUUAUGCCCCUAACAGAACUUUUUGUUUUUGCUUUUGGUUUAUGCUCAUAGGUUUUCUUAUUUUUCUUGCUUUAUUUCACAAAAAGGAAUGGCUGAACUAUUACACAGGCCUAUUAUGUCAUCUAUUCUACUGAAAUACUUUCUUUGAACUUCACAGACUAAUUCUUAUUUGAUUAUCUUUUCCAUUUUGAAGAGAUCAAAGAGGAGUCAAGAUUGAUCGCCCCUUCUAUAUCCUGCAUUAUGCCAAACCAGAAAAUAAUAUUAUAGUCUAUCAGAGUAUGAUUUACCAACAGAAUGAGACUACAUAUUUUAUAUUACACCGGGAAUUCUCUCAUUUAUCCACUAGAAGUCAUGAUUCACUUUUGAUAGCGAAGCCCUAUUUUGAUCCUUUAAAGAAAGGAGAAAAAAAAUCAAACUGCCCAAAUAUAAUUUAGCAUGAUGAAAUCUUAUUUAUUUAUCUUGUUUCUCCCUCAAGUGCCAUGAAAUAGAAAGUGGAAUAUUUUCUGAUUUAGUAGCUUUGAGUCAUUGCCCGACUAAAAUCUUUCUCCGCUAAUAACUAAGCUCUUCCCCAUGCAGGUUUUGCCAAUGAUAUUUCUUUUAGAAAUAAAUCUUACUGCAUGUAGUGUAAAGAAAGUAUAUGGCACCUGAUGAAACACUGUUAAUGAAUUGUUGUGCAGUUCCUUUUUGAAGCUGCAA